ACUAUGACAACCAUCCCCUGAACAAACAUGGAAAGACGGGCAGAAAGCAGUCCCCUGUCCGCCUGUUCACCAACCUGACACCACGAGACAUCAUCCUCCCUAAAGAGGAGGGGUUACAGAUUCUGCAAAGUCUGUGAGAGAUGUGUGGUCUGAGAACAAGCAUUGCGUUAAAUGCAACGUAUGCCCUUCGAAGGAUGGGAGACAGUGGAAGUGUUGCUCAGAGUGUCAGACGUGCGUGAAACCAUCCUGGCGUCACUGCCAGUCCUGUGGCCGCUGUGCCCUCCGGGACAACCCCUGUGGGAACAGCCCAUGUCUGGAAGGCUGCUUCAACUGUGGUAGCUUGAAGCACAAACGCAGAGCCUGUCCCCUCAAAGACAGGACCAGUAACAAUAAGACCAAGGGAGGCAAGAUCCUGCCCAAACAACAACCCAAAAAGUCAAAUUCCAAGAGGCAGUCUGGAGCCCAGCACAGAGCCAACAAGUUGAAGGAGACAGCAGAGUGGUCACAACUCACCACACAGCAAGGGAGAUGUGUGUGUGUUUAGCAGAUGUGAAGUAGUCAUAAGUUGCCAACUUGUGUGUGUGUGGUUGGUUGCUGUACUGUAGACAGUCAGUCUUUUAAAGACAUUUAAGUAAUUUUUUUGCUUUUGUGUAACGCUGUACGUCAAUGUGUAACGCUGUACGUCAAUGUGUAACGCUGUUUUUGUAGCGCUAGUAGGAACAAGUCCACACAAAGAACAGAAGCUGUGUCGUUGAAGAAGGCUCUGCGCAUGCUUGACGUUACCUCCAGAAUGAGGUCUAGGCUGUGUCGUUGAAGAAGGCUCUGCGCAUGCUUGA